rnacentral:rRNA from 1 species
UGGGGAAUAUUGGACAAUGGGCGCAAGCCUGAUCCAGCAAUGCCGCGUGUGUGAAGAAGGCCUUCGGGUUGUAAAGCACUUUUAUCAGGAAAGAAAUCCGCUGGGUUAAUACCUUGGCGGGAUGACGGUACCUGAGGAAUAAGCACCGGCUAACUUCGUGCCAGCAGCCGCGGUAAUACGAAGGGUGCAAGCGUUAAUCGGAAUUACUGGGCGUAAAGCGUGCGUAGGUGGUUUGUUAAGUCUGCUGUGAAAGCCCUGGGCUCAACCUGGGAAUUGCAGUGGAUACUGGCGAGCUAGAGUGCGGUAGAGGGUUGUGGAAUUCCCGGUGUAGCAGUGAAAUGCGUAGAUAUCGGGAGGAACACCAGUGGCGAAGGCGGCAACCUGGACCAGCACUGACACUGAGGCACGAAAGCGUGGGGAGCAA